rnacentral:rRNA from 1 species
CUUCGGGGAGUUGCACGUAAACUUUGAUCCGAAGAUUUCCGAAUGAGGAAACUCACUUAGAGUAAUGUCUAAGUAUCAUUAAGUGAAUACAUAGCUUAAUGAGGGGAACUCAGGGAACUGAAACAUCGAAGUACCUGAAGGAAGAGAAAGAAAUUCGAUUCCGUAAGUAGCGGCGAGCGAACGCGGAUUAGCCCAAACCAAUAAAGUUUUCUUUAUUGGGGUUGCGGACAUAUCAUAACGAAGAG